rnacentral:rRNA from 1 species
GCUAGCUACAGGCUUAACACAUGCAAGUCGAGGGGCAGCAUUUCAGUUUGCUUGCAAACUGGAGAUGGCGACCGGCGCACGGGUGAGUAACACGUAUCCAACCUGCCGAUAACUCGGGGAUAGCCUUUCGAAAGAAAGAUUAAUACCCGAUGGUAUAAUCAGACCGCAUGGUCUUGUUAUUAAAGAAUUUCGGUUAUCGAUGGGGAUGCGUUCCAUUAGGCAGUUGGUGAGGUAACGGCUCACCAAACCUUCGAUGGAUAGGGGUUCUGAGAGGAAGGUCCCCCACAUUGGAACUGAGACACGGUCCAAACUCCUACGGGAGGCAGCAGUGAGGAAUAUUGGUCAAUGGGCGCAGGCCUGAACCAGCCAAGUAGCGUGAAGGAUGACUGCCCUAUGGGUUGUAAACUUCUUUUAUAUGGGAAUAAAGUUUUCCACGUGUGGAAUUUUGUAUGUACCAUAUGAAUAAGGAUCGGCUAACUCCGUGCCAGCAGCCGCGGUAAUACGGAGGAUCCGAGCGUUAUCCGGAUUUAUUGGGUUUAAAGGGAGCGUAGGUGGACAGUUAAGUCAGUUGUGAAAGUUUGCGGCUCAACCGUAAAAUUGCUGUUGAUACUGGCUGUCUUGAGUACAGUAGAGGUGGGCGGAAUUCGUGGUGUAGCGGUGAAAUGCUUAGAUAUCACGAAGAACUCCGAUUGCGAAGGCAGCUCACUGGACUGCAACUGACACUGAUGCUCGAAAGUGUGGGUAUCAAACAGGAUUAGAUACCCUGGUAGUCCACACAGUAAACGAUGAAUACUCGCUGUUUGCGAUAUACAGUAAGCGGCCAAGCGAAAGCAUUAAGUAUUCCACCUGGGGAGUACGCCGGCAACGGUGAAACUCAAAGGAAUUGACGGGGGCCCGCACAAGCGGAGGAACAUGUGGUUUAAUUCGAUGAUACGCGAGGAACCUUACCCGGGCUUAAAUUGCAUUUGAAUAAUCUGGAAACAGGUUAGCCGCAAGGCAAAUGUGAAGGUGCUGCAUGGUUGUCGUCAGCUCGUGCCGUGAGGUGUCGGCUUAAGUGCCAUAACGAGCGCAACCCUUAUCUUUAGUUACUAACAGGUCAUGCUGAGGACUCUAGAGAGACUGCCGUCGUAAGAUGUGAGGAAGGUGGGGAUGACGUCAAAUCAGCACGGCCCUUACGUCCGGGGCUACACACGUGUUACAAUGGGGGGUACAGAAGGCAGCUACCUGGUGACAGGAUGCUAAUCCCAAAAGCCUCUCUCAGUUCGGAUCGAAGUCUGCAACCCGACUUCGUGAAGCUGGAUUCGCUAGUAAUCGCGCAUCAGCCAUGGCGCGGUGAAUACGUUCCCGGGCCUUGUACACACCGCCCGUCAAGCCACGAAAGCCGGGGGUACCUGAAGUACGUAACCGCAAGGAGCGUCCUAGGGUAAAACU